GAUGAACGCUAGCGGCGGGCUUAAUACAUGCAAGUCAAGGGGUAGCAAUACACCGGCGUACGGGUGCGUAACGCGUAUGGAACCUGCCCUUAUCUGGGGGAUAACUCGGGGAAACUCGAGCUAAUACCGCAUAAGAUAGUAGAAUGGCAUCAUUCAGCUAUUAAAGAUUUAUCGGAUAAGGAUGGCCAUGCGUAAGAUUAGAUAGUUGGUGGGGUAACGGCUCACCAAGUCUACGAUCUUUAGGGGCUCUGAGAGGAGAAUCCCCCACACUGGCACUGAGAUACGGGCCAGACUCCUACGGGAGGCAGCAGUAGGGAAUAUUGGGCAAUGGGCGGAAGCCUGACCCAGCCACGCCGUGUGCAGGAAGAAGGCCCUCUGGGUUGUAAACUGCUUUUGAUUGGGAAGAAAGCAUCUCAUGCGUGGGAUUUUGACGGUACCAAUCGAAUAAGCCACGGCUAACUACGUGCCAGCAGCCGCGGUAACAC
rnacentral:rRNA from 1 species